rnacentral:tRNA from 1 species
CGAGCCAUAGCCUAGUGGUAAGAGCGACGUGCCUCCACCAGGUGGAUCGUGGGUUCGAAUCCCCCUGGCCCCC